AAAACUGCCAACCCUCUUCAUUAGUAGCGUUAGCUAAACACUAGUCAAUGUUAGAAGCUGUCCAUAAGGAAUACCAGAAAAAGCAUAUAUUACCGUCUUUAAGCUUGAAAUAAAAGGAACCAUAAACCAUUUCUCCUUAGGUUUAGGAGUUGUUGCCACAUGGAGAGCUCCCUAGGCUCUUCUUCAUUAGUGGCCAAAAACAUCUCCAUUUCUUUUUUUCUUUUUUUAAGUUAACUAUGAAAUUUUAAGAUUAUGUGACGUAUCAUUCGAGAAGUCAUAUGGUUUAUGUUGACUGCAUUAGCUAAUAAAACUCUACUUAAGAUUCAUGUUAGUGAUGUGGAAAUUGAGUCAUCGUGUAUAAAGGCAUCCCUUUUCCGAAUGCUAUGA